GCGUAAUUGGUUUAGUGGUAAAAUUCUCCGUUGCCAUUCGAGUAUCGGGGAGCCCUGGGUUCGAUUCCCAGAUUACGCA
rnacentral:tRNA from 1 species